AUGGAAAUCGACGAGGACGAUCCGGUGAUCAAGGAAAGUGUUCGGUGGCUAGCGCUCGCAAGGGUGCGUACCGAGAAGAGCUUCUCUCCCUCCGCCUUCUACAAGGACAUGAGGGCUGCUUGGAACCCUGCGCAUCUGGUGAGAUUCCGGCCCGUUGGCCCCAAUAGAUUUGUGGUUCAAGCAUCCUGCUUGGGAGAUUGGGAACGCAUCAUGUCGCAAGGGCCAUGGAUCUUCCGUAACAUGGCGGUGCUGCUAUGCCCGUACGAUGGAUUCAGCAGGGCUGAAGAUGUCGUGGUUGAUCACAUGCCAAUCUGGCUACAGAUACACAAGUUGCCUGACCCCUUUUGCAAAGAGAACAUUGUAGAGAAAUUGUUGAAGGGGGCAGGGGAAAUUCUGGAGAUGCGUUUGAAUGGGAAUACCCAUGGAGAUUACGUAAGGGUGAGGAUUAAUCAUGAUAUCCAAAAGCACCUUACGAAGUUUGUGAGCAUAGUCCGAGCUAAGGAGAGGCAGGUGUACUUGGUGCGCUACGAGAAGUUGGCUCGUUUUUGCAAAGCUUGCGGUCUGAUCGGCCAUGAUCAUGAAGAGUGCGGUCUGGGGAAUUCAUGA
rnacentral:rRNA from 1 species